UACGGAGGGGGCUAGCGUUGUUCGGAAUUACUGGGCGUAAAGCGCACGUAGGCGGCUUUGUAAGUAAGAGGUGAAAGCCUGGUGCUCAACACCAGAACUGCCUUUUAGACUGCAUCGCUUGAAUCAUGGAGAGGUGAGUGGAAUUCCGAGUGUAGAGGUGAAAUUCGUAGAUAUUCGGAAGAACACCAGUGGCGAAGGCGGCUCACUGGACAUGUAUUGACGCUGAGGUGCGAAAGCGUGGGGAGCAAACAGG
rnacentral:rRNA from 1 species